rnacentral:rRNA from 1 species
AGUGGCGAACGGGUGAGUAACACGUAGCUAACCUGCCCUCGAGCGGGGAAUAAGCUGGGGAAACUCGGGCUAAUACCGCAUAACAUUCCCCAUGCAAGGGCCCACUCGAGGAGGGGGCUGCGGCCGAUUAGCUAGUUGGCGGGGUAACGGCCCACCAAGGCGAUGAUCGGUAGCCGGCCUGAGAGGGCGCACGGCCACACUGGCACUGAAACACGGGCCAGACUCCUACGGGAGGCAGCAGUGGGGAAUUUUGCACAAUGCCCGAAAGGGUGAUGCAGCAACGCCGCGUGAGGGAUGAAGGCCUUCGGGUCGUAAACCUCUUUCGAUCGGGAAAAAUGAUGGUACCGGAUGAAGAAGCCCCGGCUAACUACGUGCCAGCAGCCGCGGUAAUACGUAGGGGGCGAGCGUUGUUCGGAAUUACUGGGCGUAAAGGGCGUGUAGGCGGUGCGGUAAGUUGGGCGUGAAAUCCCCGGGCUUAACCCGGGGCUGCCGUUCAAAAC